CAGUCGCCACGGUAAUACGAAGGGUGCAAGCGUUAAUCGGAAUUACUGGGCGUAAAGCGUGCGUAGGCGGUUUGUUAAGUCUGUUGUGAAAUCCCCGGGCUCAACCUGGGAAUGGCAAUGGAUACUGGCAAGCUAGAGUGUGUCAGAGGAUGGUGGAAUUCCCGGUGUAGCGGUGAAAUGCGUAGAGAUCGGGAGGAACAUCAGUGGCGAAGGCGGCCAUCUGGGACAACACUGACGCUGAGGCACGAAAGCGUGGGGAGCAAACAGGAUUAGAUACCCGCGUAGUCCCUGUCUCUUAUAC
rnacentral:rRNA from 1 species